AUGUUUCAAUUGGUACAAAAACGUAGUACAAUCUGAAAAAAUCAAGGUGCACAACGCUAUGAUUUUAUAGGGUUUGUUAGAAAAUGAUGUGAUUCGAGGGUUCGACUCCCUCUCUCACCGCCA
rnacentral:tRNA from 1 species